rnacentral:rRNA from 1 species
AAGACCUUGCGCUUUUGGAGCGGCCGAUGUCUGAUUAGCUAGUUGGUGGGGUAAUGGCCUACCAAAGCUUCGAUCAGUAGCUGGUCUGAGAGGACGGCCAGCCACACUGGGACUGAGACACGGCCCAGACUCCUACGGGAGGCAGCAGUGGGGAAUUUUGGACAAUGGGCGCAAGCCUGAUCCAGCCAUGCCGCGUGAGUGAAGAAGGCCUUCGGGUUGUAAAGCUCUUUCAGCCGGGAAGAAAAGGCUGCGACUAAUAACCGCAGUUCAUGACGGUACCGGAAGAAGAAGCACCGGCUAACUACGUGCCAGCAGCCGCGGUAAUACGUAGGGUGCGAGCGUUAAUCGGAAUUACUGGGCGUAAAGGGUGCGCAGGCGGUUUUGUAAGUCAGAUGUGAAAUCCCCGGGCUUAACCUGGGAACU